rnacentral:lncRNA from 1 species
AUUUUAACCGAAGGUUGUAUACAAUGUUAAUAACAUAGCUCAUAUCUCUAAUACAGUGUAACCCAAGGACUCACAUCAGUUCAGUUAACUCUCAGCACAUUCCACGUCAAAAAGAACACACCUCUCAAUCUCAGAAUCUCUCAUCCACUCUACACAAAGAAGAAGAAAAGCCUCAACACCGAACCCUCACUGGUGUGUUGCUGUGCAGCGUGCCUCUGAAAAUUCCACACAUGUGUUUCAAGACCACGAGGAGGCCUUGGUGCCGUUCUGCUGCAUCUCCCAACUGUAGCUCGCCGACUUGCCGUCCUCCUCCUCGUUCUCCU